rnacentral:lncRNA from 1 species
GCCUUCAAUCACCAAUAUGGCCAGGAAUUCUUUCAUCAUUCAGUAGCAUAUUCACUUUGAUUCACCUGAAGGGCUUAUCAUAGGCCUUAAUUGUGGGGAGUGGGAACGGUAUUAGAUUCUAUUUUCUAUUUCAUGCCUGCUUUCCUAAUAAACUGCAUGAAAACCUUAUUAUGGUAUUCGCUAUUGUCUGUCAAUCAAUUCGCCA